UGGGGAAUAUUGCACAAUGGGGGAAACCCUGAUGCAGCAACGCCGCGUGAAGGAAGAAGUAUUUCGGUAUGUAAACUUCUAUCAAUAGGGAAGAAACAAAUGACGGUACCUAACUAAGAAGCACCGGCUAAAUACGUGCCAGCAGCCGCGGUAAUACGUAUGGUGCAAGCGUUAUCCGGAUUUACUGGGUGUAAAGGGUGAGUAGGCGGUUAUGCAAGUCAUAUGUGAAAUGUCGGGGCUCAACCCCGGCCUGCAUAAGAAACUGUAUAACUAGAGUGCAGGAGAGGCAAGCGGAAUUCCUAGUGUAGCGGUGAAAUGCGUAGAUAUUAGGAAGAACACCGGUGGCGAAGGCGGCUUGCUGGACUGUAACUGACGCUGAGUCACGAAAGCGUGGGGAGCGAACAGG
rnacentral:rRNA from 1 species